rnacentral:lncRNA from 1 species
UUGCUGAUUUUCGUCUACCUAUCAGAUCAAAUUUUUCUAUUGCAACUUUAUCUCCAUUGCAAAUCAUUGUAACUUAAUCACAUUCAAAAAUUUCUCCCUAUACAGAAUCAACAGUUAACAUAUUUUGUAAAUGAAUGUGUUAAACCUUUUCUUACCAUAAACACCAUUUUAUAUUUUAAAACACUAUGACUAUGUCAACCUUUAGCAGUCUAGGGCAGCUGACAUGGGUAAAUAAUAAAAUCAACUUAUUUGAUUGUGAAAUUUUGUGGUAAGUUUGAUGAUAGUAAUGGAGUAUAGUCUAGGGCAGCUGACGGGUAAAUAAUAAAAUCAAUUUAUUUGAUUGUGAAAUUUUGUGGUAAGUUUGAUGAUAGUAAUGGAGUAUAGUCUAGGGCAGCUGACGGGUAAAUAAUAAAAUCAACUUAUUUGAUUGUGAAAUUUUGUGGUAAGUUUGAUGAUAGUAAUGGAGUAUAGUCUUAUCAAUGAAAUAACUAAUUAAGGUGGUACCUAACACUACAGGGAGAUAACUCUGUAAAAUCAGCAGAACGUUUUAAUAACAUUGUGUUGUUAAGGGAAUAUUAAGCAUCUCAAUGAUCAAAAUUGGUGUUUGUCAAUCUGCUAUAUAACCAGUGUAAUUUUUCUGAUAAAAUGCUUGGUUCAAAAUUUUUGAAAUUU